UCGGACGGACCAUAUUCGUAUGGUUAGUGGCAGACGGGUGCGUAACACGUAGGUGACCUGCCCUCGAGUGGGGAAUAACGCGACUAACGUCGCGCUAAUACCGCAUAUGUUCACUCUUUCGCUAGGGUGAGUAAAGCAGCGAUGCGCUUGGGGAUGGGCCUGCGGCGGAUUAGCUAGUUGGUGGGGUAACGGCCUACCAAGGCGAUGAUCCGUAGGGGGCGUGAGAGCGUGGCCCCCCACAUUGGCACUGAGACACGGGCCAAACUCCUACGGGAGGCAGCAGUGAGGAAUAUUGCACAAUGGGCGAAAGCCUGAUGCAGCAACGCCGCGUGAGGGACGAAGGCCUUCGGGUUGUAAACCUCUUUUCUGGGGGACGAGUAAGGACGGUACCCCAGGAAUAAGUCUCGGCUAACUACGUGCCAGCAGCCGCGGUAAAACGUAGGAGGCGAGCGUUAUCCGGAUUUACUGGGCGUAAAGCGCACGCAGGUGGCUGUGCAAGUCGGACAUGAAAGCUCCUGGCUUAACUGGGAGAGGUGGUUCGAAACUGCACGGCUUGAGGUUGGGAGAGGGACGUGGAAUUCCCGGUGUAGUGGUGGAAUGCGUAGAUAUCGGGAGGAACACCAGUGGCGCAAGCGGCGUCCUGGCCACACCUGACGCUGA
rnacentral:rRNA from 1 species